GGCCAGGGUCCAUGGAAUGCAGACUUGCGAACCCCGCCAGGGCAGGAAUGCAGCAACGGUAGCUUGCUCGGCAUCUGCCGUGGGUGCCCUGGCACUC
rnacentral:SRP_RNA from 1 species